rnacentral:rRNA from 1 species
AUGCAUGAGGGCAAAGACCAGCCACUCUGGACGCUGACAGCCAAUAGACAAUUCUCUGUGAGAUCACUUUAUCAACAUCUAGUUAAAAUAGAGGUUGGGUUCCCACAAACAUUUCUAUGGAGGAUUAAAGUUCCAGCAAAAAUUAAGAUGUUUCUCUGGCAUAUUACUAGGAAAAGUGUGACGACCAAAGAUAAUUUGGCAAAAAAAGGGUGGAAAGGGAAUACGAGAUGUGUGUACUGUCGUCAGGAUGAGACCAUUGAUGACCUGUUCUUCUCUUGCUCUGCUGCUAGGUUACUGUGGUGCCUUAUAAAAUGCUCUUUCAAUUUAAGGACAGCUCCGAUUGGAGUUGAUGAUUGUCUGGGUCCCUAG